rnacentral:snRNA from 1 species
AUGUUUACCUGGCUAGGGAAACACCAUGACCAUGGAGGUGGUCUUCCUAGGCCCACUAGGGAAGACUGCUCUCCUGGCAUGGAUAGUACCUGCCAAGGUAAUAUAUAGUAAACCUUCC